rnacentral:rRNA from 1 species
UACGAAGGGGGGCUAGCGUUGCUCGGAAUCACUGGGCGUAAAGGGUGCGUAGGCGGGUCUUUAAGUCAGGGGUGAAAUCCUGGAGCUCAACUCCAGAACUGCCUUUGAUACUGAGGAUCUUGAGUUCGGGAGAGGUGAGUGGAACUGCGAGUGUAGAGGUGAAAUUCGUAGAUAUUCGCAAGAACACCAGUGGCGAAGGCGGCUCACUGGUCCGGUACUGACGCUGAGGUGCGAAAGCGUGGGGAGCAAACAGGG